AUACGGGGGAUGCAAGCGUUAUUCGGAAUCAUUGGGCGUAAAGGGCACGCAGGCGGUUCUGUCAGUCAGAUGUGAAAGCCCGGGGCUUAACCCCGGACGUGCAUUUGAAACAGCAGGACUUGAGUAUGGUAGAGGAAAGCGGAAUUCCUGGUGUAGAGGUGAAAUUCGUAGAUAUCAGGAGGAACACCGGUGGCGAAGGCGGCUUUCUGGACCAAAUCUGACGCUGAGGUGCGAAGGCGUGGGUAGCGAACAGGAUUAGAAACCCCAGUAGUCC
rnacentral:rRNA from 1 species